GACGAACGCUGGCGGCGUGCUUAACACAUGCAAGUCGAACGGAAAGGCCCUGCUUUUGUGGGGUGCUCGAGUGGCGAACGGGUGAGUAACACGUGAGUAACCUGCCCUUGACUUUGGGAUAACUUCAGGAAACUGGGGCUAAUACCGGAUAGGAGCUCCUGCUGCAUGGUGGGGGUUGGAAAGUUUCGGCGGUUGGGGAUGGACUCGCGGCUUAUCAGCUUGUUGGUGGGGUAGUGGCUUACCAAGGCUUUGACGGGUAGCCGGCCUGAGAGGGUGACCGGCCACAUUGGGACUGAGAUACGGCCCAGACUCCUACGGGAGGCAGCAGUGGGGAAUAUGGCACAAUGGGCGGAAGCCUGAUGCAGCAACGCCGCGUGCGGGAUGACGGCCUUCGGGUUGUAAACCGCUUUCGCCUGUGACGAAGCGUGAGUGACGGUAAUGGGUAAAGAAGCACCGGCUAACUACGG
rnacentral:rRNA from 1 species